rnacentral:rRNA from 1 species
AGAGUUUGAUCAUGGCUCAGGACGAACGCUGGCGGCGUGCCUAACACGUGCAAGUCGAGCGAGGGACUUCGGUCCCUAGCGGCGGACGGGUGAGUAACACGUGGGUAACCUGCCUCAUAGAGGGGGAUAGCCUCCCGAAAGGGAGAUUAAUACCGCAUAUUAUCAUGCUGACGCAUGUCAGAAUGAUGAAAGGAGCAAUCCGCUAUGAGAUGGACCCGCGGCGCAUUAGCUAGUUGGUGAGGUAAUGGCUCACCAAGGCGACGAUGCGUAGCCGACCUGAGAGGGUGAUCGGCCACAUUGGAACUGAGACACGGUCCAGACUCCUACGGGAGGCAGCAGUGGGGAAUAUUGCACAAUGGGCGAAAGCCUGAUGCAGCAACGCCGCGUGAGUGAUGAAGGCCUUCGGGUUGUAAAGCUCUGUCUUUUGGGACGAUAAUGACGGUACCAAAGGAGGAAGCCACGGCUAACUACGUGCCAGCAGCCGCGGUAAUACGUAGGUGGCAAGCGUUGUCCGGAUUUACUGGGCGUAAAGGAUGCGUAGGUGGAUAUUUAAGUGGGAUGUGAAAUACCCGAGCUCAACUUGGGUGCUGCAUUCCAAACUGGAUAUCUAGAGUGCAGGAUAGGUAAGUGGAAUUCCUAGUGUAGCGGUGAAAUGCGUAGAGAUUAGGAAGAACACCAGUGGCGAAGCGACUUACUGGACUGUAACUGACACUGAGCAUGAAAGCGUGGGGAGCAAACAGGAUUAGAUACCCUGGUAGUCACGCCGUAACGAUGGGUACUAGGUGUAGAGUAUCGACCCCUCUGUGCGAGUUACGCAAUAAGUACCCCGCCUGGG